UCCGCUGUUAGUCUGAUGGACUUCCCUUCGUGGGUAACCCGACCUUUCUCUCUGGCUGCCCUUAACAUUUUUUCCUUCAUUUCAACCUUGGUGAAUCUGACAACUAUGUGUCUUGGGGUUGCUCUUCUCGAGGUGUAUCUUUGUGGUGUUCUCUGUAUUUCCUGAAUUUGAAUGUUGGCCUACCUUGCUAGGUUGGGGAAGUUCUCCUGGAUAAUACCCUGAAAAGUGUUUUCUAACUUGGUUCCAUUCUCCCUGUCACUUUCAGGUAUACCAAUCAAAUGUAGAUUUGGUAUUUUCACAUUGUCCCAUAUUUCUUGGAGGCUUUGUUCAUUUCUUUUCACUCUUUUUUCUCUAAUCUUGUCUUCUCGCUUUAUUUCAUUAAUUUGGUCUUCAAUCACUGAUAUCCUUUCUUCUGCUUGAUCGAAUAGGCUAUUGAAGCUUGUGUAUGCUUCUCAAAGUUCUUGUACUGUGGUUUUCAGCUCCAUCAGGUCAUUUGAGGUCUUCUCUACACUGGUUAUUCUAGUUAGCCAUUCAUCUAAGCUUUUUUCAAGGUUUUUACCUUCUUUGUGAUGGGUUAGAACAUGCUUCUUUAGCUCGGAGAAGUGUGUUACUACCAACCUUCUGAAGCCUACUUCUGUCAACUCGUCAAACUCAUUCUCUAUCCAGUUUUGUUCCCUUGCUGGUAAGGAGUUAUGUUCCUUUGGAGGAGAAGAGGCCUUCUGGUUUUUGGAAUCUUCAGCCUUUCUGCUCUGGUUUCUCCUCAUCUUUGUGGUUUUAUCUACCUUUGGUCUUUGAUGUUGGUGACCUAGAGAUGGGGUUUUGAUGUAGAUGUCCUUUUCAUUGAUGUUGAUGCUAUUGCUUCCUGUUUGUUAGUUUUCCCUCUAACAGGCCCCUCCGCUGCAGGUCUGCUGGAGUUUGCUGGAGGUCCACUCCAGACCCUGUUUGCCUGAGUAUCACCAGCGAAGGCUGCUGAACAGCAAGUAUUGCUGCCUGAUCCUUCCUCUGGAAGCUUCAUCUCAGAGGGGCACCCACCUGUAUGAGGUGUUUGUCAGUCCCUACUGGGAGGUGUCUCCCAGACAGGCUACACAGGGGUCAGGGACCCACUGGAGAAGGCAGUCUGUCCAUUAUCGGAUCUCAAAUGCAGUGCUGGGAGAACCACUGGUCUCUUCAGAGCUGUCAGGCAGGGACGUUUAAGUCUGCAGAAGUCGUCUGCUGCCUUUUGUUCAGAUAUGCCCUGCCCUAGAGGUGGUAUCUAGAGAGGCAGUAAGCCUUGCUGAGCUGAAGUGGGUUCUGCCCAGUUUGAGCUUCCCUGCCACUUUGUUUACACGGUGAGCACAGAACCAGCUACUCAAGCCUCAGCAACGGCGGACGCCCCUCCCCGCACCAAGCUCCAGGGUCCCAGGUCAAUCUCAGGCUGCUGCACUAGCAGUGAGCAAUGCUCCGUGGGCGUGGGACCUGCCACACCAGGCACAGGAGGUAAUCUGGUCUGCUGGUUGUGAAGACCAUAGGAAAAGCACAGUAUUUGGGCAGGAGCAUACCGUUCCUCCAGAUACAGUCACUCACAGCUUCCCUUGGCUAGGAAAGGGAAAUCCCCCUGACCCCUUGCGCUUCCCCAGUGAGGCGACACCCCACCCUGCUUUGGCUCGCCCUCCAUGGGCUGCACCCACUGUCCAACCAGUCCCAGUGAGAUGAACCAGGUACCUCAGUUGGAAAUGCAGAAUGCAGAAAUCAUCGUCUUCUGUGUCGAUCUUGCUGGGAGCUGUAGACCAGAUCUGUUCCUAUUCGGCCAUCUUGGAAGCGACUCCAAUAAUCCUGAAUUCUAAAACUCCUCUUAAGGAAUAAUGAACUUGGACUCCCAUUUUACAGAUGAAAAAACUGAGGCUUGAAGAGUAGCAGUGUCUUGUCAAGGCCCAUAUAGAAAGUAAGAGGCCAAGCCACUGAAAGAAGGUUGUCUGCUUAGAAGGCACUCUUUCCAUUAUACCAGGUGACGAGAAAACACACCCAGAUAAAGACUAUAUGGCGAAUGAACUUAGAAGCGCUAGCAAUUCUGGCUCCUUUCACCAGAACAAGCUGCAAUCUGCAAUAAACAGGAAGAGGCUUCAUAUGUGAGGUAAAAGCCUCUCUUACUCCCUCUCUGCCAAGGACGAUUGCCAAUGCAGUUUUGAUAAGUAAAUAAAGAAUUACUGGAUGGCCAAGAACUACCACCCUAAGCAUAUCCAGCAGUCAGCCCAUGCUAUUCAAUUGUGCUACAACUACCUUUAAAAAGAAUGACUGAACUCACAGAAUGGUAAGAGUUGGAAUGGAGACCUCCCACUGGACAGCAAUGAAAGAUGAAACCCUAAAUAUAUCUGAAGUGAAUUUUUUCAUUGAACUGUCUCAAAAAUCAUGAUGAGAUUAACCUAGAACUCUCAUAUUUAGUUUCUUUGGUGCUACUGAAAAUAGUUUGACCGUUGUCCAUUUUUAACUGGACUGGGGGAAAUAACAAUGUCAUUGUAUUUUACAUAAUGAAAUAAAGGAUCUGGCAACACAGCGCAGCUGUUAUAAAGAAGACACAAAUGCCACCUUAAUAUGAUUUCUUAAAUAUAUAAUAAGCUGGGUUUUAGUCUGGGUCUGUAUGCUCACUAAUAUCAAGUAAAAAAAAUGAAUUAUCUUCUGCAUGAAGACAGGGAAGGUAGACAGGGAGGCAAUGGUCUUUUAUGCUAAAAGCUCUUAAAAGUCAGGAAGGUAUUCAAUAUUUAAAAAUUAAAUGAUGAAAAACCUGUUCUGAAGUCCCAACAGUUUUUAGAUAUGGGUUCCUUUUGUAAAGGAAAUAAUCUGCUGUCUGCUCUUUGGUAUAACACAAUAAAUAUGAUAAUUACUUCAUAUAACAGCUUAAAUUAAAUUGCUUUUGAAUGA
rnacentral:lncRNA from 10 species